UUGUCUAUUAUAUAUUAACUAGCAAACGAUCUUAUAGACAAAAUUUUGUGCACGAAGUUGUACUAUUACCUGUAAUUGAGGUUAUAAGUAAAAAAUCUCUCUUUCCAUCUGUAUAUAUAUAUGUAUAUAUAUAUAUGUAUGUAGGUAUGUGUAUAUAUAUAUAUAUAUAUAUAUAUACACACAUAUAUAUAUACAUACUUGUAUACAUAUUAUAUAUAGAUAGAUAGAUAAAUAGCUCAGUUCAUUUCAAAAGCAUGUGAUAAUAUUAAGUGAUAUAAUAUCUACUAAAAUGUAUCAGCUGUCAGCGCGGUUGAAUAUGUUUUAUGACUAAGUACACGUACACUCGAUAAUUCUAAUAAUUAGUUCUAAUAUCUACAUCACGAUAUAUUUUUCGAACAGUCACAUUUGUACUUGAUACAAUGAUUAUAUUUUUGCAACCGUAUCGAAACGUGCAGCGAUAAUGAUCGAUAACGGAAAUCUAAAAUAUUUUAUCGAUCUUUACUAUCUACAUCCGACAAGAUGGCCAAGCUAAAACAUUUUGUGCGCUUCGAAAUGAAGCGAAAAGAAGAAAGAAAAAUAAAAAUAAAAAGUUUUAAUUGAUUCCACGAAGAUCAAACAACUAAUAUAAGGAUGUUUGCUACGCAGCAAGUAAUUCGUCGUCGGACAAUGUUAGCGCCUCUUGGUAAUAUUUCUUUAUACCGUCGGUGUUUUAUUGCGACAUCGUGCAAGAAACGUUUCGUUAUCGUAAUCGUCGUAGACUUUUACCUUAGCGGCAGCAGGCCUUUUUCUUGAAAAUAUUUUUCCACAUCGAGCCAAAUCAUUUCGAUCUGGUAAACUCGACUGACCUUCGUACCAAGAAACGAUCGGACGUUGUGAUAUUGAUAUUUUUGUUUUUAUUCGAUAUGGAUAUAGGAAAAAAGAUCUUGUACCAAGAGAAAGACUAGGCGAAAGAAGAAGAAGAACGCGCGGUAGUCGAUAGAUUCGUUGGAACGUUAAAGCGCUAUAAACGUAGAGCCGAUAAUUUCGUAGGAUCGUGUCGGGUAGGAGGAAAAGAAAAGGUAGUUGGGGGAAUACGUAAAAGAAAAGAAGCGUGCGAGGAGGGGUCAUCGUUACGGAGAGAGAAGGCGCGUUCGUUCCGUUGCUACCACCAGGAGGGACGAAGGCAUCCCGGUUAAAAGUCGUGCUUUAUACGGUGGCUGUUCCGCUCUCUGGUGGGAGAAGUGAUAGUCCUUACCGGGGUAUACCACACGGCGGCACAUUAUACGGCUAUGGUGGAAUCAGUCACUGGCGAGUUGUGGGUGGUGACUAGUCGACGA